AGUGAACGCUGGCGGUAGGCCUAACACAUGCAAGUCGAACGGCAGCACAGUAAGAGCUUGCUCUUACGGGUGGCGAGUGGCGGACGGGUGAGGAAUAUAUCGGAAUCUACUUUUUCGUGGGGGAUAACGUAGGGAAACUUACGCUAAUACCGCAUACGACCUACGGGUGAAAGCAGGGGAUCUUCGGACCUUGCGCGAUUGAAUGAGCCGAUGUCGGAUUAGCUAGUUGGCGGGGUAAAGGCCCACCAAGGCGACGAUCCGUAGCUGGUCUGAGAGGAUGGUCAGCCGCACUGGAACUGAGACACGGUCCAUAAUCCUACGGGAGGCAGCAGUGGGGAAUGUUGGACAAUGGGCGCAAGCCUGAUCCAGCCAUACCGCGUGGGUGGAGAAGACCUUCGGGUUGUAAAGCCCUUUUGUUGGUAAAGAAAAGCAGCAGGUUAAUACCCCGCUGUUCUGACGGUACCCAAAGAAUAAGCACCGGCUAACUUCGUG
rnacentral:rRNA from 1 species